UCGAGUUUUGAAACGGGUUGUCGCUGGCCUUUCACAAGGCAUUGUGCACGCCUGGCUCAUCCACUCUUCAACCUCUGUGCACUUUUUGUAGGAAAAAAAAAUGGGUUUGAAGCUGAUGCAAGUCAGUAGAUGCCUAUUUUCUUUCCUAUGUUUUUAUUACAAACGCUUCAGUUAUAGAAUGUUUACUUGCAGAUAAUGCAUUUAUAUA
rnacentral:misc_RNA from 1 species